rnacentral:rRNA from 1 species
AUUGAACGCUGGCGGCAGGCUUAACACAUGCAAGUCGAGCGGGGGAAGGUAGCUUGCUACCGGACCUAGCGGCGGACGGGUGAGUAAUGCUUAGGAAUCUGCCUAUUAGUGGGGGACAACAUCUCGAAAGGGAUGCUAAUACCGCAUACGUCCUACGGGAGAAAGCAGGGGAUCUUCGGACCUUGCGCUAAUAGAUGAGCCUAAGUCGGAUUAGCUAGUUGGUGGGGUAAAGGCCUACCAAGGCGACGAUCUGUAGCGGGUCUGAGAGGAUGAUCCGCCACACUGGGACUGAGACACGGCCCAGACUCCUACGGGAGGCAGCAGUGGGGAAUAUUGGACAAUGGGGGGAACCCUGAUCCAGCCAUGCCGCGUGUGUGAAGAAGGCCUUAUGGUUGUAAAGCACUUUAAGCGAGGAGGAGGCUACUCUAGUUAAUACCUAGGGAUAGUGGACGUUACUCGCAGAAUAAGCACCGGCUAACUCUGUGCCAGCCGCCGCCGUAAAAC